rnacentral:rRNA from 1 species
GCUCAGGAUGAACGCUAGCGGCAGGCCUAAUACAUGCAAGUCGAACGGUUUGUAGCAAUACAGAUAGUGGCGCACGGGUGCGUAACGCGUAACCAACCUGCCCUGAACUGGGGGAUAGCCCGCCGAAAGGCGGAUUAAUACCGCAUAAGACUUUAGCCCGGCAUCGGGUAGAAGUUAAAGAUUUAUUGGUUCAGGAUGGGGUUGCGUGACAUUAGCUAGUUGGCGGGGUAACGGCCCACCAAGGCGACGAUGUCUAGGGGAGCUGAGAGGCUGGUCCCCCACACGGGCACUGAGAUACGGGCCCGACUCCUACGGGAGGCAGCAGUAGGGAAUAUUGGGCAAUGGUCGAGAGACUGACCCAGCCAUGCCGCGUGCAGGAUGAAGGCUUUCUGAGUCGUAAACUGCUUUUGCCAGGGAAGAAAAAAGGGGAUGCGUCCUCUACUGACGGUACCUGGUGAAUAAGCACCGGCUAACUCCGUGCCAGCAGCCGCGGUAAUACGGAGGGUGCGAGCGUUGUCCGGAUUUAUUGGGUUUAAAGGGUGCGUAGGCGGCUUUUUAAGUCUGGGGUGAAAGCCCGUUGCUCAACAACGGAACUGCCCUGGAAACUGAGAAGCUUGAGUACAGACGAGG